rnacentral:rRNA from 1 species
GCUCAAAUUUGAAAUCUUCAAGGUUUUACCUUGACGAAUUGUAGUUUAAAGAAGUGUUUUCUGUUGGUGUUUUGGUAAAAGUUCUUUGGAAUAGGACAUCAUAGAGGGUGAGAAUCCCGUAUUUGACCAUUACUUCCAGCGUUGUGAUACACUUUCAAAGAGUCGGAUUGUUUGGGAAUGCAGUCCAAAGUGGGUGGUAAAUUUCAUCUAAAGCUAAAUAUUGGCGAGAGACCGAUAGCGAACAAGUACCGUGAGGGAAAGAUGAAAAGAACUUUGAAAAGAGAGUUAAACAGUACGUGAAAUUGUCAAAAGGGAAGCGUUUGACACCAGUGUUGUUUUCUCGAAAAUCAAUUAAAAAAAGUUGGAUUUUGUAUUGUUAAGACCUUAUCAGCUUACUGUACUCUUUUCUUGCUUUUUUUAAUGCACUUUUCGUUUAACAAG